rnacentral:rRNA from 1 species
CCGGUUGAUCCUGCCGGACCUGACUGCUAUCGGAUUGAUACUAAGCCAUGCGAGUCAUUGUAGCAAUACAAGGCAUACGGCUCAGUAACGCGUAGUCAACCUAACCUAUGGACGGGAAUAACCUCGGGAAACUGAGAAUAAUGCCCGAUAGAACAUUAUGCCUGGAAUGGUUUAUGUUUCAAAUGAUUUAUCGCCGUAGGAUGGGACUGCGGCCUAUCAGUUUGUUGGUGAGGUAAUGGCCCACCAAGACUAUUACAGGUACGGGCUCUGAGAGGAGUAGCCCGGAGAUGGGUACUGAGACACGGACCCAGGCCCUAUGGGGCGCAGCAGGCGAGAAAACUUUGCAAUGUGCGAAAGCACGACAAGGUUAAUCCGAGUGGUUUCUGCUAAAGGAACCUUUUGUCAGUCCUAGAAACACUGAUGAAUAAGGGGUGGGCAAGUUCUGGUGUCAGCCGCCGCGGUAAAACCAGCACCUCAAGUGGUCAGGAUGAUUAUUGGGCCUAAAGCAUCCGUAGCCGGCUCUGUAAGUUUUCGGUUAAAUCUGUACGCUCAACGUACAGGCUGCCGGGAAUACUGCAAAGCUAGGGAGUGGGAGAGGUAGACGGUACUCGGUAGGAAGGGGUAAAAUCCUUUGAUCUAUUGAUGACCACCUGUGGCGAAGGCGGUCUACCAGAACACGUCCGACGGUGAGGGAUGAAAGCUGGGGGAGCA